ensembl:ncRNA T27F7.11 ncRNA
UUUUUUGAUGUUCAAUGAUUCUAUUUGCUCGUUCGUCUAGCUCAUCUUUAUAAAGAUAAUUAGAGGGUUCAUCGUAGCGAUUUGUGCAAAUA